GUUGUUCGGAAUUACUGGGCGUAAAGGGCUCGUAGGCGGCCAACUAAGUCGGAUGUGAAAUCCCCAGGCUCAACCUGGGAACUGCAUCCGAUACUGGAUGGCUUGAAUUCGGGAGAGGGAUGCAGAAUUCCAGGUGUAGCGGUGAAAUGCGCAGAUAUCAGGAGGAACACCGGUGGCGAAGGCGGGUCUCUGGGCAACAACUGACGCUGAGGAGCGAAAGCGUGGGGAGCGAACAGG
rnacentral:rRNA from 1 species